AUAUGAAGUCUUAUUUGAAAAUGCAUUGGCCACUUAAUUGUGGAAGGUAGAAUAGAAAUCACAACAAUAAAAUUUUUAUUCUAAUAGAAUAGUAAAUAAACUCUAACUAAAUCUUAACAAUGCUCAAAAAGCUUAAAUCAAAUUCAAAAAAAAUUAAAAGAAAUUAAAAAACAAACAAUUAGAAAUCUUUAAAGAAUUUAAAAGAUAUCCACAAUAAAUCUUAAAAGAAUCUCUAAAAAUCUUAAAGAAAUAUUAAAAUAAUCACAAAUAUAUCUUAAUUAAAACUAAACCAAGUCCUAAUUAAUUCUAAUUAAAAACCUAAUGGACUUCAAUCAAAUCUUAGGUCAAAUCAUAAAUCCUAAAUAAAACUUAAAUUCUAAAAAAAAUCCUAAAUCCUAAAUCCUAACCAAAUCUUAAAUCCUA
rnacentral:lncRNA from 1 species